AUGAGUUGUUUUCAGCUCAUAAAGAAAACGUGCUGGAACCUGACUUCGAUCUCCUCGAAAUUCUGGUGGGGUGCAACGAAUGGUGAAAGGAAAGUGCACUGGGUCUGUUGGCAAAAAAUGUGUGCAGCAAAGAGUGUUGGUGGUCUUGGGUUCCGCGAUCCCGAGGCAUUCAAUCAAGCUUUGUUAGCAAAGCAAGCCUGGAGAAUUCUGCAAGUACCAGCCUCUCUUUGUGCUAGGGUUCUUAAAGCACGCUAUUUUAAAGAAGAGACAAUCAUGUCGGCCACCUGCCCUUCAAAUGAGUCUUACACCUACAGGAGUGUGCUACAUGGCCGAGAUCUUCUCAGGGAGGGUGUGAUUUGGCGGAUUGGGGAUGGUUCUAAAGUUCAUAUCCACCAUGAUAAUUGGAUCCCAAGAAGGGGUAGCAUGAGACCACUGGGUCAAAUUCAUGUGCCGGGCGUCACGCGGGUUGCUGACCUGCUCACCUUGAACGGGCGUGCAUGGGAUCCGGCUAAAGUGAACGAGAUGUUCAGUCCAAGUGAUGCGCAAGAUAUUCUCUAG
rnacentral:rRNA from 1 species